rnacentral:tRNA from 1 species
GCCGAAGUAGCUCAGUUGGUAGAGCAUUCGCUUCGUAAGCGAAAUGUCGCCGGUUCGAUCCCGGCCUUCGGCU